rnacentral:rRNA from 1 species
UACGUAGGGUCCGAGCGUUGUCCGGAAUUAUUGGGCGUAAAGGGCUCGUAGGCGGUUUGUCGCGUCGGGAGUGAAAACACCGGGCUUAACUCGGUGCUUGCUUUCGAUACGGGCAGACUGGAGGUAUGCAGGGGAGAACGGAAUUCCUGGUGUAGCGGUGAAAUGCGCAGAUAUCAGGAGGAACACCGGUGGCGAAGGCGGUUCUCUGGGCAUUACCUGACGCUGAGGAGCGAAAGCGUGGGUAGCGAACAGG